rnacentral:ncRNA from 1 species
UAGUCUGCCAUACGCAGGAAGACCCGCUGAACUGAAGCAUCUCAUUAAGCGGAGGAAAAGAAACUAACUAGGAUUCCCUUAGUAAAGGCGAUCGAAAAGGGAACAGCCCAACGUCUUAAUCCCGCAAGGGAAAUGUAGUCGGUUCACCUAUUGCACUGGUCUAAGUCAGAUGGAAUGCUGCGCGAUUCAGAGUAAAAGCCUCGUAUGACCAACCGCAAGCUUACGAUGGACCGGGGAGAGUCGGAUACUUUGAGAGUAGUGUCUUAAGGGGGUGGUAUGUCCCAUCCAAGGCUAAAUAACGUGAGGAGACCGAUAGAUUACAAGUAGUGUGAACGAAAGAUGAAAAGAACUCUAAAACAGAGGGUGAAAAGUUCCUGAACUUGCUUAGGGUUAAGGCUAUUUAUAGUACCCGUCUUGAAACACGGAUUAGGGAGUUUAUCUGUAGUGCGAGUCUUUGCACGUUAACUGUAAAGGCGUAGAGAAAGCAACUGGCGUUUGCAUGGCUACUGAGCAUUACUGAUAGGACCCGAAAGGUGGUGAACUUUGCCUGCACAGGUUGAAGUCAGGGGAAACUCUGAUGGAGGACCGUACGGGUUAUUGAUGUGCAAAUCAUUUUUCUGAUGUAGGUAAAGGUGCGAAAGACUCAUCGAACCACCUAAUAGCUGGUUUCCUCCGAAGUUUCCCUCAGGAUAGCUGUAAUGCAUUUAGUUAAGGGGAGUAGAGAUAUGGGUAGAGGUGCAGGGAGCCUUCGGGUUCUCAACUUAUUUCCAAACUUCGAACCUCCUUGUUAGGCAUUUACCUAACUGGAAAUGCUUAAAUGAAUUAGCGUUACAAGUGGGCUC